rnacentral:lncRNA from 1 species
AUUCCGGGACAGGCAAGUCUACCCAUAAUUCCCUGUAUUGCCGAGGGCGCCAUUUUGGAACACAAAUGUAAACAAACACUCAAACCUCGUGUAAUCGAUGUACACCGUGAUGCUUGAUUGCGAUAUGCUUACCUGGUGUAACGAUACAUUGUUCUCAAUCACCUCUAACACGGAAAUCCCGGUCGAAAUCCAUCUGAGCCAUCCACAACGAGGACGUCAAGUACUUCGAAAACUCGAUUGACAGCCGAAGGAAGGAAGAGCACCUUGCGGAUGCUAGCAUGUUCAGGGUUUGUGGGGAGGUUCACAGACAUCUUCAGGGAGGAUACGAAGUGUUGAAAUGUCCGGAUGAAUAAAAGAGACAGUCAUCUGUGCAGCAUCAAUGCAAGGAAAGACCAUAGAAGAGCAACAAAACUGAAGUCCUGCUUGAGAUCCCUGGAUGAGUACUCCAGGUUGACAGCCUGGAAGGACCAGACAAGGGAGUCCUUAACAGGGCGUGCACCCCUUCAGAUAUCAGAGGUGAUUUGCAGACAGCGAUGAUGAGGGUCCUGUUAUUUCAAUGGAGGCUGACCGAGAAGUUAUAUGCCAAAUGGUACUGGGACACACAAGACUGGUCUGGCUAAUGUGAGAAGACCAACCAAUGCCAAGCUGGAGUGGAAUCCUUCCAGGACAUUCAAGAAAUUCUUGUCCUGAGCCAUGUGGUAAACACUUGAACGGAAUGAUAAAUGGGACUUAUUGUCUUUCAAUGUGGACCCAAACACCAAAUGGAAAGUUCACAAUUCUACUAGCGCAAUGCAGCAGGGAUUGAGUCCAACUGGUAUCCCCUCAUCCUGGUUCCUGUUCAUCCAUGGCAAUAUAGAAAGAAAAGUAGGAUUGAGGGAAAGUAAGUUCUCUGAACUGGUGAACAUAAUCCGUAGGUACUGUCAAGCGAACAGUUAUCUCACUCUGUUAUGAGUAUUGAAGAAUAGGAUGAAAUUGCAUACUGCAUCAGGAACAAUCGUGUGAACACUGUUCAGUGUGCGAUAUACUAUAGGCAUGAUAGGCAUAUGAAUAAAAAAAAUAUGAUAAUUUGA